rnacentral:rRNA from 1 species
AAACCGUUCAGGGGUAAACCUGAGAAACCCAAAAGAUCGAAUGGGGAGAUUCAUCGUCAGCUUUGUCGGCUUGCGUGCUGCUCGCGAUGCUCGUCUUGGGACGUUAAUAGCGUUCUUUUGGACGGGCACGCGGUAGCUGCGUAAUUCCGUCCGAUGAAGUCGGCGUGCACUUCUCCCCUAGUAGGACGUCGCGACCCGUUGAGUGUCGGUCUAAGGCCCGCGAGGUUGACUGCCGGUGCGUCAGCGUGUCAAAGCGUUGGCGCCGCCGGUAGACCCGCGGUCGCCCGACCGACUGCUCGGCGGUAUAAAUUGUUUGAAAGUUCAAUGGUAUCGAGCCGCAUGAUUUUUGAAUGCGUUCUUUUAUGGCUCGUCGGCAGGUGAGCCUCGCCUCGGAUUUUACGGACCUGGUGCCGUUGUCGAGCGAGUUAAGUUUGCCGUUUCGCCGACGAUGUCCUCGGACGGGCUCUAUAAAGGGUAUUUAUAUACUCUUUUGUUACCAGUCAGCGACGCUACUGCUUUGGGUACUUUCAGGACCCGUCUUGAAACACGGACCAAGGAGUCUAACAUGUGCGCGAGUCAUUGGGACUUGUUUUUGAUAAGCCUAAAGGCGCAAUGAAAGUGAAGGUCCGCUCUGAUGCGCGACCGAGGGAGGAUGGCUUCGAGAGGGAGGAUUGAAUUUUUUCUCUUCUCCCUUCCUCGGAGCUCGCACUCCCGGGGCGUCUCGUGCUCAUUGCGAGCUGAGGCGCACCCAGAGCGUACACGUUGGGACCCGAAAGAUGGUGAACUAUGCCUGGUCAGGACGAAGUCAGGGGAAACCCUGAUGGAGGUCCGUAGCGAUUCUGACGUGCAAAUCGAUCGUCGGAACUGGGUAUAGGGGCGAAAGACUAAUCGAACCAUC